rnacentral:rRNA from 1 species
AGCGGAGGAAAAGAAACUAACAAGGAUUCCCCUAGUAACGGCGAGUGANGCGGGAACNGCUCAAAUUUUAAUCUGGCUGCUUCGCAGUCCGAGUUGUAAUUUGAAGGCGUCUGUCGCAUGUGAGACGAUGGCACAAGUCCUCUGGAACGUGGCAUCGUAGAGGGUGAGAAUCCCGUCUCUGGUCGUUGUCUUGCAGGCACACGGCAGGCGAUCCGAAGAGUCGAGUUGUUUGGGAUUGCAGCUCCAAAUGGGUGGUAAACUCCAUCUAAGGCUAAAUAUUGGCGAGAGACCGAUAGCGAACAAGUACCGUGAGGGAAAGAUGAAAAGAACUUUGAAAAGAGAGUAAAACAGUACGUGAAAUUGUUGAAAGGGAAACGCUUGAAGUCAGUCGUGCCGGCGGGGAUUCAGCGAACUUCGCGGAGUGAGCGUAUUUCCUCGCAUGGCAGGUCAGCGUCAGUUUUGCGCGUCGUGAAAGGGCUCGGGUAAGGUGACUCUCUUCGGGGAGUGUUAUAGGCCUGAGCAGAUGCGAUGCGCGGGACUGAGGAUUGCAGCGGACACCCUUCGGGGCGCGGCGACCGAUCCCUGCUCUGUCACCUUCGUCCGAUAGCGUGCUAACGGUCGGGGGAGCGGCGGUUGCACCGGGUUGGCAAGCCGGCGGCUNCGCUAAGGAUGCUGGCGUAAUGGCUUUAAACGACCCGUCUUG